rnacentral:lncRNA from 1 species
CCCAGUGUGUUGGAAAUUCAACCCUGAACAAUGGCAAAAUCCUCAAAAACUGGCAGAAUGCUUGAAAAAAAGGUGUCAUGAUUCUGGCAGUUCCAAAGUAACACAAAUCAUUGUAACGUGCUGGGGCCUAGCUCAUGCCUAUUGAGCUGCCAUUGAUACUGCUAUCAACUUAGUGACAGACCCUGCGGCCAAUCCAAGCCCUGUGACAGAUCCAACGUCCACUGUGACCCCUACGGUGGACUCUGCAGCCGCUCCAGUCCCAGCUCCUGCAGCCGCUCCAGUCCCAGCUCCUGCAGUUGCUCCAGUCCCAGCUCCUGCAGCCACUCCAGUCCCAGCUCCUGCAGACGCUCCAGUCCCAGCUCCUGCAGACGCUCCAGUCCCAGCUCCUGCAGUCGCUCCAGUCCCAGUUCCUGCAGCCGCUCCAGUCCCAGCUCCUGCCGCUACCCCAGUCCCAGCUCAUGCAACUGCUCCAACUCCAGUUCCUGCAGCCGCUCCAGCUCCUGUGGCCGUGUCAGAGAAACGAGCUGUAGCAGUGCAAGUUUAUCCUGCAGAGGGUAUUACAACCCCUGUGGCAGACCCUGGAACAGGGUCAGAGAAACGAGCAGUAGCAGUGCAAGUUGACCCUGCAGAGGGUAUUCCAACAUCUGUGGCAGACCCUGUAACAAGGUCAGAGAAACGAGCAGUAGCAGUGCAAGCUGCCCCUGUAGAGAAGGUGAAAAAAUGGUAUAGAGAUUCAGGUCAUUUAGAACACAGAGAGUCUUCUGCCAAAUCUAGGUAUAGAGACGACGGAGACGACGCCGACGCUGGGCCAUCAAGGAUUCAGGAGGAGGAAGAUGAGGAUGCCGAAAAAUCAACAGUAACUACCCGAAGUCUAAACAAGCGCGAGCUACGAGAUGUGCGAAAAGAUUUUGGUCAUUGUAUAGGUGAGCAGCUUGUCACCUGGCUGCUCCGGUGCUGGGACUCUGGAGCCAAUUGUGUGGAAUUAGAUGGCAGGGAAGCCAAGCGGCUGGGAUCCCUUGCUCGAGACGCC